rnacentral:lncRNA from 1 species
CAGGCACUGAUCUUCCCUCUUCAGACAGAGCAUUCUCUUGAGCCUCCAGGAUCCCCUGACACCACAUGGACCUGGUCCUUGGGCUCUGGCCCCGCAGCCCCUGCAGGACGGUAGAAAUGGGCUGGACAGAGAUGGACAGAGUGUCAGGCUUGGGAGAAUUCGAACCAGCUGCCCUGCACACACAACUCGAGCAGAAAGAAGGAAACCCGGAGGCCCACCGGCACUGAAGCUUUAAAUACGUCGUAAGUUUAAAGUAAAAUCAGAAGAAUCAAG